UUACCAAGGCGAUGAUGCAUAGCCGAGUUGAGAGACUGAUCGGCCACAUUGGGACUGAGACACGGCCCAAACUCCUACGGGAGGCAGCAGUAGGGAAUCUUCCACAAUGGACGCAAGUCUGAUGGAGCAACGCCGCGUGAGUGAAGUAAGGUUUUCGGAUACGUAAAGCUCUGUUGUUGGUGAAGAAGGAUAGAGGUAGUAACUGGUCCUUUAUUUGACGGUAAUCAACCAAGAAAGUCACGGCUAACUACGUGCCAGCACGCCGCGGUAAAU
rnacentral:rRNA from 1 species